UGGCAUUUUUAAAUCGAUGGUAGGAAGAUCUUGCGCUAUUUCAGAAUAUUUAGAUCGGUAUAUAAACAGUGGCCGUGUACUAAAAGUCCCGUGUCAAGAUCAUCACAUUCAAGAUGGCAAUAAUGUCCGCAAGACGGAAACUUCUACAGCUACAA